UUAAGUUCAGCGGGUAUUCCUACCUGAUCCGAGGUCAACACUUAGGUUUAAAAAAAGUAUAGACCGCCGCCCACAGGUCAUACCGGCACAUGCUCUGGUUAAAAAGCUCCUCGUACCGGUUCCCUCUGGGGACGGCGUCACUAUCUUUGAGACCAGCCGUGGGUGAGACCACGCCUAAAUCCAACACCAAGCCGGGAGCU
rnacentral:misc_RNA from 1 species